rnacentral:rRNA from 1 species
GUAGGUGGCAAGCGUUGUCCGGAAUUAUUGGGCGUAAAGCGCGCGCAGGCGGUCCUUUAAGUCUGAUGUGAAAGCCCACGGGCUCAACCGUGGAGGACAUUGGAAACUGGGGGACUUGAGUACAGAAGAGGAAAGCGGAAUUCCAAGUGUAGCGGUGAAAUGCGUAGAGAUUUGGAGGAACACCAGUGGCGAAGGCGGCUUUCUGGUCUGUAACUGACGCUGAGGCGCGAAAGCGUGGGGAGCAAACAGGAUUAGAUACCCUGGUAGUCCACGCCGUAAACGAUGAGUGCUAAGUGUUAGGGGGUUUCCGCCCCUUAGUGCUGCAGCUAACGCAUUAAGCACUCCGCCUGGGGAGUACGGCCGCAAAGGCUGA